AGCGCAGGCGGACCGGCAAGUUGGAAGUGAAAACUAUGGGCUCAACCCAUAAAUUGCUUUCAAAACUGCUGGCCUUGAGUAGUGCAGAGGUAGGUGGAAUUCCCGGUGUAGCGGUGGAAUGCGUAGAUAUCGGGAGGAACACCAGUGGCGAAGGCGACCUACUGGGCACCAACUGACGCUGAGGCUCGAAAGCAUCGGGUAGCAAACA
rnacentral:rRNA from 1 species